rnacentral:rRNA from 1 species
GUGGGGAAUAUUGGACAAUGGGCGCAAGCCUGAUCCAGCCAUGCCGCGUGAGUGAUGAAGGCCUUAGGGUUGUAAAGCUCUUUUGUCCGGGAAGAUAAUGACUGUACCGGAAGAAUAAGCCCCGGCUAACUUCGUGCCAGCAGCCGCGGUAAUACGAAGGGGGCUAGCGUUGUUCGGAAUCACUGGGCGUCAAGCGCACGUAGGCGGACCAUUAAGUCAGGGGUGAAAGCCUGGAGCUCAACUCCAGAACUGCCUUUGAUACUGAUGGUCUCGAGUAUGGAAGAGGUUGGUGGAACUGCGAGUGUAGAGGUGAAAUUCGUAGAUAUUCGCAAGAACACCGGUGGCGAAGGCGGCCACCUGGACAGGUACUGACGCUGAGGAGCGAAAGCGUGGGGAGCAAACAGGAUUAGAAACCCCUGUAGUCC